AAAAAAUAAAAUAAAAUAAAAAUACAACUAUACAUUUGGCCAAAAAAAAAAUCUCUCAAAUUUAUCAUUAAACUUUUGUAAACUAGCAACUCUCAAUACUGACACUUGGUGUCUAGAAAUCCAAAAAGGAAUCCACAUUAACUCAUUUAAGUCAUUUAUCUUGGCUUCCAUCAAUCAAAUGUAGGAAUUGACAAGGAUCUGUGGCAAGGUGCUGCAUUAGAAAAAAAAAUUGCACCUUCGUAUGAAUUCAGGUAAUUCAUUUACAAGUUUCUAACUUUAAGGUUAUGAUAGGAAGAUCAGGUCAUGUUUCUAAAAAUUCUGCAGACUGAAUUGUCCUUGUAAGCUCCUUCAAAUUAGCCAGCACAUGGCGGGGUCCUAAACUCUUUACACCAAUAAAAUUCAAAAGUUGCUCCAAAUCCUACAACCAUCAGAAGAUAUUAGUCAUUUGGAACAAGCCACCAUAACAACAUUAAGAAAAGCCAACUCACAAAAACAAAACUAGAGAAGCUAACUGUAACUUAAAAUAUUAUACUAAUGCACCUAUAUUCUGCAAGAAUUUUAUCAAAACAGCAUCAGUUAACAGAUAAUUCUCUUAUUUUAAGAGGCUUGCAAGACGUGCUACCAUACCUCCUUCUCAGCCCCCAACCCCUAAAUUCUGUGAUUCACCAAAAAGUUGAACUCGAAAAGUGAAACAUGUAAAAAAUGGUGGGAAGCAAAUAAGAGAUGUUGGAGUUCCGAGAACAGAUCACCACCAUCAUCUAAGUAGAGGAUUCCUCAAAUAAGAAUAUCAUUAUCCAGAAAAAUUGCCAAACAGAACAAGACAAAACAAAAUUAAUGAAGAGCCAGACAUAAACCAAUAUUUUGGGGCAGAGUUAAGAAUAUUAAAAUAAUAUAAGAUGCAGUCCCUGAAAUCCAGCUCUAAAGUAGAUAGGGAAAGAGUCAGAGACCAAUUGAUGCGAACUUAGGAUUCAUAUCACCGAUGUUACCUUGUUUAACAGAAAAACAGCAUAAGCUGCUCGUGUUGUUUCUUGACCUUCCAAAAAGAGGGGAAAUUCAACUGCCUUCGUAUUCACAUUGGAUGAUGAACUCAAUAAAAGGUCAGAUGAUGUAGGCUCCACAGAAGGUGCGUAGUCAUUAAUAAAAGAUCGAGAACCACCCAAGCGCACAGGAUAACGCAAAGGAACUUCUAAGUAGGAAGAAACGAGUGAAACAGCAUGUGCAACAUAUCCCAGGGCAGUUGCAGACUUCUGGACUUCCUUCUUGUCGGUAAAAAAACUCAUCUUUGUGAAAGGAAGCAUAGUCAAAUGCAGACCUAAAACUGUCAAAGAUCCUUCAUUGGUUGGUUUAGAUCCAGUGUAGAUCCCUGAUUUACUAGUGCUUGGAAAUGAUUCAAGCUCUUGCUCCUCUGAAGGUCCAGCUGAUAUCUUUACUGGAUAAAGCAAUGAAAUUUGUGAUAUCAUAUACUGCUGCCUCAUUCUUAGCUUCUUCUGCAGGUUUCUGAGACGACCAUAACCCCUCUCUCCAGAAAGUGACCUCUUUGAUUCCUGAAGUUGCUUGCUAGCUACGGAAAGAGAAGAACCAGCAACCAACAGAGAUUUGACUUCCACACCAAGCCUCUCUUCUUCCUUUUUAGCAUCCUCAGCUGAAACCUUAGAACUCAACGAUAUGCUUUCCAUUGCCAAUUUUCUGGCUUCCAAUCGCUGGCGCAUCUCCUCAAGCUCAUUCAAUCGACUUAAUGACUUGGCUUCAACCUGCCCACCAUGUUGCCGCCCGCUAACCCGCGGGCUAAUCAAUUAACGCCCAAUAAAUCCAUAAAGGAAGAAAAGAGGACAAAGAGCAGGUAAGACAUCGCCAAAAAGCAAAGGAAUCACCUCCAUAUUUAUUCUUUUAAUUAAAUUUAUGUUUUCAUUUAUUAUCAGCCUAAUUAUUAUCAACUUUCAUGUUUCAAAUAGAAUUCAAAUUGAAGGUAAGACAAAUGUAAAUUCAACUGUUCCACCAAUUUAUCAAGCAAGCAUUAUAGAUUCUUCAUUUCUUACCACUCGUUAAGCUAGAAAACAAAAUCAUGAAAAUCCCCACUAAAUAGCAGCUCUAGACAGAUACAUUAUACAUAUUUUAGUAAUAGGUAAAACCCUAAUACAAUAGAAUGCACAAUUUUCACCCUCAUUUCUUCUCCUUCAUCGUCUAAGCAAUCAAACAGAGCCAACUUCUACAGUCCGAAUGGACAGUAAAUCCCAAUAGAAAAAAAAAACCAAUUUCAAAAAACCCAGAAAGAAAAAACCCUACCUGAAUGAAAGAGUUGAGCUUUUGCUGAAGACUUAGCUUCUUUUCCUCGGAUUCUUUGAGGGCCGAGGAGAGGCUCCACAACUUCGCAACUUCCUGCUCGUAACCUUCCCAUUCGAUCAAUUUCACUUUCUCUGAUUUGCUCGCCUUCGUUGGAUCUGAAGAAAGAGUUCGAUCUUCUUCCAUCAAUAUCUGAAAUCGAAAAUUUAAUAAUGUGGCUCAAUAAGAGGUCAAGGCCUGACCUCAUCGUUCUACAGAUAGAAUGUAUUACUGCUUGGAGAUCAUCGAACCAUGAGUGUUUCGUUCGGGGAUUCGGCAAAAUCGGAAGGGAAAGAGAAGACUGGUAGGUUGCGGGUUUUUUU
rnacentral:misc_RNA from 1 species